AAAAAACUUGUAUAGAGCACUAUACGCUCACACGCACUACUACUCUGUUUUGUAUCACUCAUCUCAUCCGCCAUUGAUUUCUUGGAGGAUCAGAUCAGAUGGGUGCAGGUGCAGUCCUCGGGUUCCUGGACUUCUUGACCAGGAACAGCUUCUUGAGGAGCCUGAGCAUCAGCCUCAGGCUCAACUUCCGGCGACGGACCACCCUGCUGUCACCCGUUGGAUGUGGGCGGCGGGGAUGCUUGCCGUUGCCGUGCUUCUCCAGGUCGACGACGAUCAUGUCGCCGUCGUAACCGAGCCAGCCGGCCGCCUCCUUCAUCGCCAGCGCUGAUCCCUUGUUGAUCACAGGGCUCAGCGGGCACAGCGGCGGCACGCUCGCGAGCUCCUCGUUGAAGUCCUCCCACAGCAUGUCCAUCUUCUCCUCCUCCUCCUCUUCCUCGUCCCCGGCAGCGGCGAGGAACCAUGGCAAAGGCGAGCCGCCGCCGAGCUGGUGUCGGAAUGCUGAUGAUGGAAGAAGCUGCC
rnacentral:lncRNA from 1 species